GAUGAACGCUAGCUACAGGCUUAACACAUGCAAGUCGAGGGGAAACGACAUUGAAAGCUUGCUUUCGAUGGGCGUCGACCGGCGCACGGGUGAGUAACGCGUAUCCAACCUGCCCAUCACUUGGGGAUAACCUUGCGAAAGUAAGACUAAUACCCAAUGACGUCUCUAGAAGACAUCUGAAAGAGAUUAAAGAUUUAUCGGUGAUGGAUGGGGAUGCGUCUGAUUAGCUUGUUGGCGGGGUAACGGCCCACCAAGGCGACGAUCAGUAGGGGUUCUGAGAGGAAGGUCCCCCACAUUGGAACUGAGACACGGUCCAAACUCCUACGGGAGGCAGCAGUGAGGAAUAUUGGUCAAUGGACGAGAGUCUGAACCAGCCAAGUAGCGUGCAGGAUGACGGCCCUAUGGGUUGUAAACUGCUUUUAUAAGGGAAUAAAGUGAGUCUCGUGAGACUUUUUGCAUGUACCUUAUGAAUAANGACCGGCUAAUUCCGUGCCAGCAGCCGCGGUAAUACGGAA
rnacentral:rRNA from 1 species